rnacentral:rRNA from 1 species
CUACGUAGGGGGCAAGCGUUAUCCGGAUUUACUGGGUGUAAAGGGAGCGUAGACGGUGUGACAAGUCUGAUGUGAAAACCCGGGGCUCAACUCCGGGAUUGCAUUGGAAACUGCCAUACUUGAGUGCAGGAGAGGUAAGCGGAAUUCCUAGUGUAGCGGUGAAAUGCGUAGAUAUUAGGAGGAACACCGGCGGCGAAGGCGGCUUACUGGACUGUAACUGACGUUGAGGCUCGAAAGCGUGGGGAGCAAACAGGAUUAGAUACCCUGGUAGUCCACGCGGUAAACGAUGAAUACUAGGUGUUGGGGGUCUAUAGACCCUCGGUGCCGCAGCAAACGCAAUAAGUAUUCCACCUGGGGAGUACGUUCGCAAGAAUGAAACUCAAAUGAAUUGACGGGG